UUUUGAUUUUAAUUUAAGGUUUGGCCUGCUCAAUGAUUUAUUAAAUUGCCGCGGUAUUUUGACCGUGCAAAGGUAGCAUAAUAAUUAGUUUUUUAAUUAAAAGCUUGAAUGAAUGGUUGGACGAGAAAAUAGCUGUCUCUUUAUUAUUAUUAUUGAAUUUAAUUUUUUAGUUAAAAAGCUGAGAUUUAAUUAAAAGACGAGAAGACCCUUUAGAGUUUUAUAGAUAAAGAUUAUGUUUAGUUAGGUAUUUUUUUUAUAUAGGAUUUAUUUAUUUGGUUGGGGUGACUGUAAGAUAAAAAUAACUCUUUUGUAUUGGAUCAUUGAUUUUUGAAUUUUUAAUCAAAAUUUUUUUAAAUUAAAAUAAAUUACCUAAGGGAUAACAGCGUUAUUCUUUC
rnacentral:rRNA from 2 species